UACGUAGGGGGCGAGCGUUGUCCGGAAUCAUUGGGCGUAAAGCGCGCGUAGGCGGCUCGAUAAGUCCGGUGUGAAACCUUGGGGCUCAACCCCAAGCCUGCACUGGAUACUGCCGAGCUAGAGUCCGGGAGGGGAGAGCGGAAUUCCUAGUGUAGCGGUGAAAUGCGCAGAUAUCAGGAGGAACACCAGCGGCGAAGGCGGCGCUCUGGGCCGGUACUGACACUGAGGAGCGAAAGCGUGGGUAGCAAACAGG
rnacentral:rRNA from 1 species